UCCAGCCCCCGCCCCUGCCCCGGGAGGGGGCAGUAGGAGAAUGGGUCUUCACCUCAGUGCUAGGGCCUGCCUCUAACUAACCCUGGCCUGGCUUUGGGCCAAUUUCUCAACCUCCAGCCCCCUUCAAGGGCUGCUAUGAGGAUUAAACAAGAUAAUGUAUGUGCCUCAAAUUUUCCCACUAGAUGGUAAGUUCCUUGAGGAAAGGAACUUUGUCUUACUCAACUUUGAAACACCAAAGCCUGAUCCAUGAUAGGUGUUCAAACAGUUGUAUUUGUUCAUUCUUUUGGCAAAUCUUUCCUGUGCCAGAUUUACAGACCAGUACUAUCCUGGAUAUUAGGAUUUCAAGGAGCUUGAAAUCCACCUAACACUGGGAAUAUUAAUGAGGAGGAAGACAACAGUGGUUGGAGCAUCAAAAGGCUGCCUAUUGAAGGAAGUGGGACUCAGAGAGGCAGGAAGACCUCAGGCAAAGACCCAGGAGACAGAGUUCCCACACAGCUAGACAUUCUGCAUCAUAUAUUCUGCCCAACAGUGUCUGCGCCAUCUGAACUGACUCCAAUGUUGCCUUUUUUUUGGCCGUACCGCACGGCAUGCAGGGUCUUCAUUCCCUGACUGGCUGUGUCAAACCCGCACCCUCUGCAAUGGGAGCGCAGAGUCUUAGCCACUGGACUGCCAGGGAAGUCCCAGUGUUGACUUUUUAGCUCUGAGUGGUCAAUGAUAACACAAGAAAGCAUACUCAUCGCUGCCUCCAGAGAUUCUGCGAGAACCAACAGAAUGGUAAAUAAAUACAUUUUGGAAGAUCCCAUGUAAAGCCAAGGAGUUACUUAUAUGCUAAUGACAGUCUCUAAAGCACACUGUGAGGAACAGUGUCAAAGAGGCAUUUCAAAGAACACAUCCUUUGCAUACCGCUAGAAAAAGUUCCAAGUAAGGAAAACAAAAAUACUCAGGAAGCUCGGGCAGCUCCUGUAGCAGGGUAGGUAAGAGAAAGCAAGCCUCUCCGACUUCAAGCAAAGAGGUAAAGGCAAAGAAAAUGGUAGCAUUCGAGAAGCAUCAAGGAAGCCCAGGGAAAGAUAGGAUCCCUCCACCCCAAGCAACUCACGAUCUAGGUGGGAAGGAACCAUGUGUGUCGCUGCAACUGGCACCUUGUCAGUUGCUCUAAAAUUCACCAACCACAUGGUCUCCUUGGACCCUUAUCAAUACCCCAUGAAACAUGGCUAUUUUCAUGUUUUUCAGAUGGGAAGACUGAGGUUUGGACCUCCGUCACUUUUGCAGUGACUGGUAGAGUAGUCAGAUCUUGAGAAAUGAGAAGCUUCAAUCUUCUUACUGCACAGUAAAUAAUUCUAAACACCAUGAAAGAAAGUAUUACUUAUCCUGUGAUAUUGAGAAGGUACUCCCAGGAACCUAGAGAUCAUUUUCAGACAAACAAGGAAACAACUACUUUCCCUGAAAAGGUUGUACUGAUGAAAUAUGAACUGUUUUUAGAAAUGUUUUAGAUGGAUUCACAACUAAAAGCCACAAUGGAUUAUUGAGGGAGAAAUUAAAAGGAUAUACAGGUUUACAUUUCUAACCUUAAAAAGUUACAUAAAGUGAUAUGAAAGCCACUUCCAUUCUUCAUUCAGUCAACCUAGCGUGUCUACCUUGCAACUGAUUUUUACUGAUUAUCCACUACUUUCUGGUGCUGCCUCAGGUCUGGGGAGCAUGGUUCUGGCCUGGAAGAGCUCAGAACUCUUGGAGAUAAUUACUAUCCUAUACAGAAAAUGCAGAGAAAUGGAAGAAGUGCUAUAGCACCUCAAGGAGGAUUGGAUAUAUUCUAUUGGAGGCAGUCAAGGAAAGCUUCUCAGAUAUUUGGAUUGGACCUUACAGGUAAAGUUGUGAGCUUGCCAAGGACAGAAAGAAGAAACAGUGCAAGACUAGAGACAUGACAGAACAUGGCACACGUGGAGACCACCACAGAAUGGAGAACGUGGUGUAUGUAGAGAACCAUGGAAUAAAGGGCAGCUAUGAAAACCCACAGCUAACACUGUAUUCAUCAGUGAAAGUCUGAAAGCUCUUCCCCCAAGAUCGGGAACAAGACAAGGAUGUCUGCUCUCACCACUUCUAUUCAACGUUGUCCUGGAGGUUCUAGCCGGAGAAAUGAGGCAAGAAAAUGAGAUACAGGCAUACCUCAAAGAUACUGUAGGCUCGGUUCCAGACCACUGCAAUAAACCAAGUUACACAAAUUAUUUGGUUUCCCAGUGCAUAUAAAAGUUAUGUUUAUACUGUAUUGUAGUCUAUGAAAUGUGCAAUAGCAUUCUGUCUAUAAAAGACAGUGUACAUACCUUAAUUAAAAAUAACUUCAGUGCUACAAAAUGCUAACCAUCACCUGAGGAUUUAGUGAGUUGUAAUCUUUCCAUUGGUGGAGGGCGUGAAAUAUUGUGAGAACUGCCAGAAUUGCCAAAAUGUUACACAGAGACAUAAAUUAAGCAAAUGCUGUCUGAAA